CGACGUAAAGAACUUGCCUCACAGCUAGGGACAACAUUUGGAAACGAAUGCUAAUACCUAAUAUUAUGAUAAUAGAGCAUCCUAUAAUUAUGAAAGCUAUAAGCGCUGUGAGAGAGCUUUGCGUCCCAUUAGCCAGUUGGAGAGGUAACGGCUCACCAAGGCGAUGAUGGGUAGCCGGCCUGAGAGGGUGAUCGGCCACAAGGGGACUGAGACACGGCCCUU
rnacentral:rRNA from 1 species